rnacentral:rRNA from 1 species
UACGUAGGGUGCAAGCGUUAAUCGGAAUUACUGGGCGUAAAGCGUGCGCAGGCGGUUCUAUAAGGCAGGUGUGAAAUCCCCGGGCUCAACCUGGGAACUGCAUUUGUGACUGUAGAGCUGGAGUACGGUAGAGGGGGAUGGAAUUCCGCGUGUAGCAGUGAAAUGCGUAGAUAUGCGGAGGAACACCGAUGGCGAAGGCAAUCCCCUGGACCUGUACUGACGCUCAGGGGCGAAAGCGUGGGGAGCAAACCGG